rnacentral:lncRNA from 1 species
CAUUCCAUAAAUUAUUACCGGAUUUCUCCGGAGGCUCGCCUGAAAACUGCUAUAAGUGUCAACCUGAUCUCGGAGACACCAUCCCGAAGAUGUGGAAGAGGAGAAGACCAAUAAAUUCAAGCAUAAUUUUCCCCCGCCUUCAACUUUGAGGAUGAAGAGAAUUUCACUCGGUCCAAGUGCUGUCAACACUUCCGAGCUGUUAAUAGGAACGCAUAAUUAACCAGCAACAGGCACACAAAAUCUUACAGAAAUAUUUCUCGGUGGCAUUUGGCGACCCUGAGUCAAAUCCCAACCUUCCCCGUGGUAUAACGACAGGUGAAAUUAACACGCAAUUAACAAUCACCUGUUCCAAAAAGUGAAAUAGCAGGCAUGAGGUGAUGGAGGAAGAGACAAAUUCUGGGAUCACAGCUGGGGAUCAACACAUCUGGAUGUGUACGGUGGCAAUAACUUUCAACUUAUACACAGACCUGACAUGCACUCACUUUUUUACUUCCUUACUUACUCUUGUUAGCGUUACAUAUAGUUAGCCCCUCCAGAAUAGCUCAAUGUUUCGAAACAAAUCUAUGCAUGAAAGCACAGAAAGGAAAGCCUUUUAGAAGCUGCUCUCUUUGAUCAGUUUUUAAUUGAAAAAAUGCUUUAUUGCUACACUGCUUCUGUCUUACUUUGAAUGGCAUGGGGAACCCACAUCCACAAGGAAAAGAAGUCUGGCAUCUUCAGCCUUGACCUUCCUUUGGCUGCAAGGAUCAACAGAAAUGUUCAAGGAAUCAGCAUCUCAGCUUUUUGGACACCGGAAAAAAGAAACGCCAGACACGACUUUUUAACGCAAUGGCCUCCUUGCCAGAAGUCCUUCGCUGAAGGAGAAGUUUAUUUUGCAGGUGUUCAAAAUGACUUUGUAGCUGCUGUGUUGACUAAUACCCCCUUAAAAAAAAAAAAACAACAACACCUUUAAAAUCUUAACCAUAAUCAGUUUGAAAAAAAGUGUAUCUGUUCUUCUUUAUGGACCCACUUCUAUUUUGCAGCAUCUGAUAUCCCCCCCCCGUGCAUUUAUUUAAAAUGAUGCCGGUUGCAUCAUCUUUCUU